AAGAAAAGCUUGUGCACCACAGAAUAUCUGCCUUGUGUGCCCGUUUCACAGGAGCUGUUAUCGAUGGCCACUUGCUUCUCCUGACGCUUCUAGCUUCUCCUGGCUCUCACAAGCAGCUAGCUACCUGUGUACAGGGAGACUGAAUUUUCUGAGCUCAGGAAACCUGACUUUGGCCAUUGUGGAGGAAAACUAGGUUUAUUUGCAUCUGUAAAGCAUAACUGGGAGCCAUCUGAUGGACUAGUGAUAUGGCUGCAUUGGAGGAGUGCUAACCCAGCAGGCAUGAAGCCCCAUGUUCCAUCCUUAGCAGAAUAUAAAGCUGAUGUGGUGGUGGACACCUGUAACUCCAGAACAUGGGAGGUAGAGGCAGAAGGAUAAA